CCUACGGGUGGCAGCAGUGAGGAAUAUUGGUCAAUGGGCGCGAGCCUGAACCAGCCAAGUCGCGUGAGGGAAGACUGUCCUAUGGAUUGUAAACCUCUUUUGUCGGGGAGCAAAAGACGCCACGCGUAGCGUUCUGCGAGUACCCUAAGAAAAAGCAUCGGCUAACUCCGUGCCAGCAGCCGCGGUAAUACGGAGGAUGCGAGCGUUAUCCGGAUUUAUUGGGGUUAACGGGUGCGCAGGCGGAAGGUAACGUCAGAGGGAAAAUUGAGGGGCUAAACCUCUUCGUGCCGUUGAAACUGGUUUUCGCGAGUUAGCGAGAAGUAUGCGGAAUGCGUGGGGUAGCGGUGAAAUGCAUAGAUAUCACGCAGAACUCCGAUAGCGAAGGCAGCAUACCGGCGCUCAACUGACGCUCAUGCACGAAAGUGUGGGUAGCGAACAGGAUUAGAUACCCUAGUAGUC
rnacentral:rRNA from 1 species